rnacentral:siRNA from 1 species
UAAGUUAACUGAUGAUGGGAA